UUUCUGAAGCACCGCCCUUUUUUCAGGAGGAUGGGCCUCAGGCGAACUGCACCGUGUCAGCACCCUCUGAUGAGAAUUCCACGCAAGGUGUUCUUGGUUACAGCGGCGAGAACUGUGGUCUGGGCAGCCGGUCAAGCGGAACAGAUCCGAGAUCACAUUAAACCAGUGAGCGCUCUGCGCCGCGUGCGCCCUUGGCGGUGGAUCUCUGCAGCAGAUGGUUCCUCAACAAACAUAUUCAACAGCAACUCAGACGCUCAGGCAGUGUUGCGGAUGGAGGAGGACGUGUGGGACACAGUCUGUGGAAUCAGAGGGACCAGUAACAAAAUCCUCUGCCACGUGAAGGGUAAGUGCUCUUGGCAAUUGCUUAGCCCCUUGAACCUCAGCUUCGUCAGUUCUAAAUUAGGGACAAUAACGAUCCCUACUUCACAGUGUUGGU
rnacentral:lncRNA from 1 species